UACGUAGGGUGCAAGCGUUAAUCGGAAUCACUGGGCGUAAAGGGUGCGUAGGCGGGUUUUUAAGUCAGAGGUGAAAUCCUGGAGCUCAACUCCAGAACUGCCUUUGAUACUGAAAGUCUUGAGUAUGGGAGAGGUGAGUGGAACUGCGAGUGUAGAGGUGAAAUUCGUAGAUAUUCGCAAGAACACCAGUGGCGAAGGCGGCUCACUGGCCCAUUACUGACGCUGAGGCACGAAAAGCGUGGGGGAGCAAACAGG
rnacentral:rRNA from 1 species